ACAUAAGAUGCGAUUUCCGGCCUUUCAAACAGUUAAAAGGGAAUCCAGUAUCAAGCUGGAGCUGACGCGCAGCGGUAGGGAAUGUCUUGGCGAACGUAAUUCAGACACUGUCUCCGGAUGGGAAGUCUUCGCCAUUUAUGAUUCCGAGCCCGAAGACCUGCCGGUAUUACGUCGCAAUU
rnacentral:ncRNA from 1 species